CCUACGGGCGGCAGCAGUGAGGAAUAUUGGUCAAUGGACGAGAGUCUGAACCAGCCAAGUAGCGUGAUGGAUGACUGCCCUAUGGGUUGUAAACUUCUUUUAUAUGGGAAUAAAAUGUUCCACGUGUGGGAUUUUGUAUGUACCAUAUGAAUAAGGAUCGGCUAACUCCGUGCCAGCAGCCGCGGUAAUACGGAGGAUCCGAGCGUUAUCCGGAUUUAUUGGGUUUAAAGGGAGCGUAGGCGGAUUGUUAAGUCAGUUGUUAAAGUUUGCGGCUCAACCUCUUCGAGCCGUUGAAACUGGUUGUCUUGAGUGAGUGAGAAGUAUGCGGAAUGCGGGGUGUAGCGGUGAAAUGCAUAGAUAUCACGCAGAACUCCGAUUGCGAAGGCAGCAUACCGGCGCUCAACUGACGCUGAUGCACGAAAGUGUGGGUAUCGAACAGGAUUAGAUACCCUAGUAGUC
rnacentral:rRNA from 1 species